AUUGAACGCUGGCGGCAUGCUUUAUACAUGCAAGUCGUGCGGCAGCGCGGGGGCAACUCUGGCGGCGAGCGGCGAACGGGUGAGUAAUACAUAGGAACGUAUCCUGAAAUGGGGGAUAGCUCGGCGAAAGCCGGAUUAAUACCGCAUACGCUCCACGGAGGAAAGCAGGGGAUCGCAAGACCUUGCGUUUCUGGAGCGGCCUAUGUCUGAUUAGCUAGNGGCGGGGUAAUAGCCCACCAAGGCGACGAUCAGUAGCUGGUCUGAGAGGAUGAUCAGCCACACUGGGACUGAGACACGGCCCAGACUCCUACGGGAGGCAGCAGUAGGGAAUUUUGGACAAUGGGGCAACCCUGAUCCAGCCAUGCCGCGUGAGUGAAGAAGGCCUGG
rnacentral:rRNA from 1 species